GAUGAACGCUGGCGGCGUGCCUAAUACAUGCAAGUCGAGCGAACGGACGCGAAGCUUGCUUCUCUGAUGUUAGCGGCGGACGGGUGAGUCACACGUGGCUAACCUAUCUCUCAGACUGGGAUAACUUCGGGAAACCGGAGCUCAUACCGGAUAAUAUUUUGAACCGCAUGGUUCAAAAGUGAAAGACGGUCUUGCUGUCACUUAUAGAUGGAUCAGCGCUGCAUUAGCUAGUUGGUAAGGUAACGGCUUACCAAGGCAACGAUGCAUAGCCGACAUGAGAGGGUGAUCGGCCACACUGGAACUUAGACACGGUCCAGACGCCUACGGGAGGCAGCAGUAGGGAAUCUUCCGCAAUGGGCGAAAGCCUGACGGAGCAACGCCGCGUGAGUGAUGAAGGUCUUCGGAUCGUAAAACUCUGUUAUUAGGGAAGAACAUAUGUGUAAGGAACUGUGCACAUCGUGACGGUACCUAAUCAGAAAGCCACGGCUAACUACGUG
rnacentral:rRNA from 1 species